AAUCUCUAAUCUCAGCCGUUAAUAGUAACUAAUCAUAUAUCCCCAAAACUAAAUCUUCCCCGUGAAGCUCUCUCUCUCUCUCUUUCUCUGCAAAUCCCACGUCUGUGUUCAAGUCUUGCUUCGAUUUCUCCAAUCUCAAACCCUAAUUUCAUACAUAGAGAAGAUAGAAUUGAUGGAGUCGAGUCUUCCUUUCAAGAGAAGUAAACUCUGUUAUUGACUGUGGAUGUCUGAGAAACGAGAUUCUCUGAGUUGAAGCGGUUCCUCAAUUAACCACAUGCACCUUCCUCUCUCUCUUUCAUUCCUUAGUCGAUCUGUGCUAUGAAUAUCGGUGGUCGGUUCAUCGCCAGUUCUCAACAGGAAGAGUUUGUUCUGAUCAAUACUGAUGAGAUGCCAGAGAACAGCUUGCUAGCUUCUAAGAGUCUGGCCAGAAGACAGCGAUCAUGGUUUGUUCUCUGAUCUUCCAGAGAAAGAUCUGAAGGUCGGAUGGUCGAGGAGAAGAAUCUCUCUUAGAUCGUUUGAUCGGAAGAAGAAGAAGAAAAAGAUGGGAAUCAUGUUCACGCGGAUGUUCUUCAGUGUUCGGCAACAAAGAAGCUCGUAUCCUCGUCCUCGGUCUCGGCAAUGCUGGAAAAACUACUAUCCUCUGUAAAACAUUCACUCCCCUCCAUCUAUUUGUGUUUUGUUUGAUUACAGUUCGGCUUCAGAUGGGGGAGGUUGUCUCCACGAUUCCGAGUAUGUAACUCUGCUCAGGAUCUGAUUUUUUUUUUAUAAUUGUUCAUUUGCCGUUCCUGUUAUUGGUUUUCUCUGAUCUGUGCAGUACAACAAUAUCAAGUUUCAGGUCUGGGAUUUAGGUGGACAAACGAGCAUCAGGGAGACGGGGAGGAUAUAAACGUCGAUUUGACUGAACAGAAGAAAGCCAAUGACGUCGAUUCCAUCAGAAUCCAUCAAUAUCUCGGCUUUGAGUUUCAGGUGAAUGUCCAGUGGUGAAAGGAAACAAAUGGUCAUCCACAAAAUGGUUCCAUGUCCACGAGUUCAAGGUUUAGAUUAAGAAAAAAAACUGAAGUGAAGUCGAGAAAAGAAAAGAAUUGAUAGGAAAGGGGAAAACAAGAUUUUAUUGUUUUGAAGUCUAAAGUGUAAUUUAAAAUUUGGAUAUUUGAUGUUUGUUGUUUAAAACGUCUUGCUUUGGACUAUAUGAUUAUUAGGUAUUAAUAUGUACAAAAUAAAAUAUUUAGAUAACUGAA